GACGCCAGGACCAACCAGUCCAGUCAGCCCUGGAUCGUCGGCUUUACCAGUCCAGAGGAAACAAACCCACUGCAUUGGGUCAUGAGAUGUGUCCCCACUCAGAACCCCCUCUGUGAACUGCACUCUACCUGACUCGCCUUCAUAGGCCUCAUCCCAUCCUUACCCAGCACCGUCUCUGCCCCUCCCCAACUGUGACUGACCUCAUCACCGAUUCCCCCCGACACUCUGAGCGUUGGCUCCAUGAUUUACCCUUCUGAGUGGAGGAGGACGGUGGAGUCCAUAUAACCUGUUGCUUCCAGAAGCCUGUGCCGCCAUGGCUGGCUAUCAAUCGGGACAUGGCAGCAAUGUUGGGGACGAGAGCCUACAGUGAAAUAUCUCAUAGAGAAACACCUCCCUCAAGGAGGCUCAGGGUGGGGGAUGUCGUGGGAGGCAAGCAGAGAUGCUGUCCGACGGCCCUUGGGCUUGUCAGAGACCCUGCUCAGUUUCCAUCAUCUGGCCCCCAUGAGGAAUCCAAAUAAAUUGUUUGGAAUAUGU